rnacentral:lncRNA from 1 species
CCCCCACGACGGUAGGAGAGCCGGCAAAUGAAGCUCCUACAAUGGUCAAAAAGCAGUCGAAGCCCCCACCAUCUCCCAUGAUGGUGGGAGAGCCGGCAAAAUCCCCACAAUGGUGGGAGAGCAGCUGAAGCCCUUACGAUAGUGGGAGUGCAGAUGAAACUCCCAUGAUAGUGGAGGAGCCGACAAAGCCUUCCCGAUAGUGAAAGUACAGAUUAAGCUUCCAUAAUGAUAGAAGAGCAGUCGAAGCCCCCACG